AGGUGCCCAGAGAAGAUAAAUGGAGACAGUCUGGGAUGGACCAGGUCUUGACUCCCGGGCAAGAUUCAACUCCUGGACUUGCCACUGUAUCCCUGCCUACCAACACAGAUGAAACUGAAGCCAAGCGGAGGAGGGCAAGCCUGGGGCAGCAGCCAGCACAUGAUGGUCCAGCAUCCUGCCCACCCUCCAGCCCGACACCAGGCCAGGAACUCUGGGACUGAUGCCCGGCCCUGGCUCUCACCAGCUCCUUCCUCCAGCCCAUGAAGAAUACAGCCCUGCUGCCCACCUGUGCCCCAGCCAGGGCAGUUUUAUUGGUGCCAUUGGUACAAGGCCUUGGCCAAGAGCCCGAAGCCUUUGCCUCCCCCUUUUCUGAGAAGGAAGCUGGAUCCUUGCCCUGGCCUCCUAGGAAACAACACAUUUGGUCUGAUGUG